UGUUUCCACUCUCAAAGUGGUUGUGAAAUGAGUUACUCUUGAACGAUCUCAUAUCACAGCCAGCUUUGAAGAGCGAAACG
rnacentral:pre_miRNA from 1 species